GGACGUCCUCUAAAGCAACUUCCGUGGGUGCCAGGUUGUGGGCUGGGGGCGGUGCUGACCUUGAGAGAGCGGAGGAGGCGCAGGCGCAGCACAGUUUAAACUUGAUUUUGUGAGGGGACGAACAGCGUGACAAUUAAAAGAAGAUCUGGGAAUCAAAAGCUUCCUGAGGCCUUCACCAGAAGCAGAUGCUGGUGCCGUGCUUCUACAGCCUGCAGAACUAGCAACUGGGAACCUAAUUCUGACCAAAAAGGAGGAAUUGUUUGGCUAAUUGGAAGUGACAGAAACCUUGGGAGAAAGCAACCGCAUACCAAGGAUAAUUAUAAGAAGAAGAGAAGACAUGGAGAAGAGGAGGGAGUAGUUGUGACCGUGGAGGCAGAGAAUGGAGUAAUGUGAUCAUAAAUCAAGGAAUGCUGACAGCCACUAAAGCUGGAGAAGGCCAAGGACAGAUAUUCAAUCCUCCCGUAGAAGUACAGCCCUGCUAAUGCAUUGAUUUUGGACUUCUGGCCUCAGAACUGUAAGAGAAUAAAUUUCUAUUGUUUUAAGCCUUCA
rnacentral:lncRNA from 1 species